AUUGAACGCUGGCGGCAUGCCUUACACAUGCAAGUCGAACGGUAACAGGUCUUCGGAUGCUGACGAGUGGCGAACGGGUGAGUAAUACAUCGGAACGUGCCCGAUCGUGGGGGAUAACGGAGCGAAAGCUUUGCUAAUACCGCAUACGAUCUACGGAUGAAAGCAGGGGACCGCAAGGCCUUGCGCGGACGGAGCGGCCGAUGGCAGAUUAGGUAGUUGGUGGGAUAAAAGCUUACCAAGCCGACGAUCUGUAGCUGGUCUGAGAGGACGACCAGCCACACUGGGACUGAGACACGGCCCAGACUCCUCCGGGAGGGAGGAGUGGGGAAGUUUGGACAAUGGGCGCAAGCCUGAUCCGGCCAUGCCGCGUGCAGGGUGAAGGCCUUCGGGUUGUAAACUGCUUUUGUACGGAGCGAAAAGACUCUGGUUAAUACCUGGGGUCCAUGACGGUACCGUAAGAAUAAGCACCGGCUAACUACGUGCCAGCAGCCGCCGUAAAAC
rnacentral:rRNA from 1 species